UAAGGAUAGCAUGUGGGAAAUGCAGGAAAGACAGCAGAUGAUCUGUGUUAAGAUGAGAUCUGUUUGCCACUACCACCUAGCUCAUCACGUCCAUGUUGGAGAUAAAACUGAUUUCAUCUUGCUCUGAAGCUCCAAGAUACACCAAAACAAUCCUAAAAAAGUCAGAAUUUGUGCUAUCCCAAUCUGCCUGAUCUACAUCUCUACAAGAAUUUCUUUCAAAUAUAAAAUAUCCAUCACUGUAGUGAUUGCAAUAUAGAAAAAAAUAGUAAUAUGAUCAUAAAUUAGUAUUUUUGUCUGAAUUUGUAAGAUAUUGGACAAAAA
rnacentral:lncRNA from 1 species